CAGGACGAACGCUGGCGGUGUGCUUAACACAUGCAAGUGGAGCGACGAACCAGGGCUUGCCCUGGGGCAGAGCCGCGAACGGGUGAGUAACACGUGGGUAACGUACCCGAUGACUGGGACAACCCGAGGAAACUCGGGCUAAUACCGGAUAUGUCCGACUCUCACGAGGGAGUCGAGCAAAGG
rnacentral:rRNA from 1 species